GUGCUUGUGGUGUAGUGGUUAUCACAUCCGCUUCACACGCGGAAGGUCCCAGGUUCAAAACCUGGCAAGCAUA
rnacentral:tRNA from 1 species